rnacentral:rRNA from 1 species
UACAGAGGUCCCGAGCGUUGUUCGGAUUCACUGGGCGUAAAGGGUGCGUAGGUGGUGAGGUAAGUCGGAUGUGAAAUCUCCGGGCUCAACCCGGAAACUGCAUUGGAAACUACCUUGCUUGAGGGUUUGAGGGGGGACUGGAAUUCUCGGUGUAGCAGUGAAAUGCGUAGAUAUCGAGAGGAACACCAGUGGCGAAGGCGAGUCCCUGGAAAACACCUGACACUGAGGCGCGAAAGCUAGGGGAGCAAACGGG